rnacentral:lncRNA from 1 species
GCAGACACAACCUGGGUCAAAAAAUGACCAAUCUAUGGACCAGAACAUAAGAGUCAAAAAGAAGUGACACAGGAGAGAUUAUUCAAAGGCAGACGCAAAUUUUGAUCACUGAUCAGCCAUGAAAAGUGAGCAGGUGUUGUGAAGGAGUCAAAGAUUUACCAUAAAGCACAGUUUUCUCCACUAUCAGUCAAAACCCUGAAGGUUCUGCGGCCUAACUUCGGUCCCUAGAUAGAAGAAGGGACAAUAUAUUAGCGUGGUAAAGACUACCCCUGGAAGACUGAUAUCAUCCUGUGUUCUCACAAAGGAGAGAAAGAACCCUUUAUUCUUUAGACCAUGAGAUGACAUGUGUUACCCUGUGAAA